GAAGAGCCUCAUUAAAGCUGCAUUCAAGGUGGGAGCCCACCUACUAUUCAACGGAAGUGGCUCUGCUACCAGCUUCCAUAAUUGAAUUCUAAUGAAAUAACACAAAAUGUAGCUAAAAUCCUUUAGAUGAUCCCACUCAUAUCCAUAGCCCAUUAAAAGAGGCAAUGAGUCACAGGCUAAGGGUUCUGAAGAGUGCCUUUCUUCACAUAUGACAAAACAAUGGAGGCCCAGUGAGGUAAAACGGUUUGUGCAGAAUUAGAGCUGACUGGCAUCCAUCUCCUGAGGCUCAGGGUUGCCCUUCACAGAGGAAGCAGCGGACAAGUUGAAAACUGGAAAGGUGGCUUCAAGCUAAGCGCAAACAAUACAGUGUUCAAUGUGAUGGUGCCCGUGGAAAGCUGGCCACAGUGGCUGGGAUGCCCUCACAGAAUGUGCAUGCAGGGAAGUUCUCGUCUCAACAACACAUGGCCGUAAUUUUGUUUAUACACAUUGUACUGUUGCAGUGUAAGAAUUUUUGAAAUCACAAGUAUAAUUGCAAAAGACAGAGUUAUUUCUAUGAAAAAUGGAUUGGAUGAUUUGGCAAAACCCGGUAGAGGCAAAUGUCUAAGAGUAUUUAUUUAAGUACAUGUGUUCUCAUGCCAUAAACGACUGGGGGAAAAAAACUCAUGAAAAUCAAGAAGGAUGCUGCACUCAGCUUGCUUAUGUUCUUCAAGUUCUGCUCCACUUAAAAACACCAAAAUUAGAAAUCAUAGAUCGUGGGUGUGAUUUCUGCAGGAACUCAGAUCAGUUCAACCCUAAUCAAAGAACACAGGGUGGAGCUAUCUCAAAGUACUGAUGAAUGAGCAUUUAUAUAUUUAAUAUAAAAUAAAAUGUUCAAGGCAUGUGUGUAUCAUUUUUAAUAAUUGUCCUGUUUUACUCUCUAUUUUUGUGAAUUUAUCUUUUCAAUUAACCAGUUGCUCCUGAUCCCAAUUGACUAACGAAGACAUUCUAUUGAAGACAAUAAAACCUGCUAAGAGUAUGUUGGAAACACCAAAUAAAACAUGGGCUCCUCAGCUAUUGGGGUAGGUAGAUAAAAAUGUAAAUUAAUAAAGGAGGUGGAUUAUAGUCCAUGACAAAGUGGAAAAACAGAAAGCUUUGACUUCUGAGCUUCUGUCCUCUCCCUCUUGCCCUCUCAUCUUGCUUUACCCAUUCCCUCUUGAACUUGGACUUACCAGUCAGGACUCACUCCACCUCUGCAUGCAUGCAGAUGAGCACACCUGAGGGGAAACAGGCAGCUCCACAAGCACACUUUUCUUCAAUCUAUGACGACUAACCUCAAGUGCGCCUUUAGUGCUGGAAGGCAAUCUUACAGUAUUCCCUGGAGAUCAUUCUAUACCUCCUUUCUUCUCAAAUCUUCCUGUACUUCACACACACACACACACACACACACACACACACACACACACUUUACUCUCAGAUAAUGGUUUUACUUCUGCCUUCACUGAGAAAGAAA
rnacentral:lncRNA from 1 species